UGGAAGUAAAAGUCGUAACAAGGUCUCCGUUGGUGAACCAGCGGAGGGAUCAUUAGCGAGUUACCGCAAAACUCCAUAACCCUUUGUGAACCUACCUACUGUUGCCUCGGCGUCGCGCUGCGGCUGACGCCCGCCCCUACCCGCCCUACCCGGGAGAGGAGGGGGCGGGCCUCAGCCGGCUGAACCAGCCCGCCAAAGGACCUACAAACCAAACCCUAAAUCAAACGAACGUACCUUCUGAAAAAAAAAACAACUUUUGAAACUUAAUAAGUCAAAACUUUCAACAACGGAUCUCUUGGCUCUGGCAUCGAUGAAGAACGCAGCGAAAUGCGAUAAGUAAUGUGAAUUGCAGAAUUCAGUGAAUCAUCGAAUCUUUGAACGCACAUUGCGCCCGCCAGCAUUCUGGCGGGCAUGCCUAUCCGAGCGUCAUUACGACCCUUAAGCCCCCCGGGCUUAGCGUUGGGAUUCCGCGCCUUCCGGGGCGCGGUUCCCUAAAGCCAUCGGCGGCGCCGCGGCUCCACUUCUGAGCGUAGUAAUCUACAGUUCCUCGCCCCUGAAGUGGCCGCGGCCGCCUGCCGCAAAACCCCACCAACUCUCAGUGGUUGACCUCGGAUUAGGUAGGGAUACCCGCUGAACUUAAGCAUAUCAUAAGCCGGGAGGAA
rnacentral:rRNA from 1 species